UACAGAGGGGGCAAGCGUUGUUCGGAAUUACUGGGCGUAAAGGGCGCGUAGGUGGCCUUCUAAGUCGAACGUGAAAUCCCUGGGCUCAACCCAGGAACUGCGUCCGAUACUGGAAGGCUUGAAUCCGGGAGAGGGAUGUGGAAUUCCAGGUGUAGCGGUGAAAUGCGUAGAUAUCUGGAGGAACACCGGUGGCGAAGGCGGCAUCCUGGACCGGUAUUGACGCGUGAGGCGCGAAAGCUAGGGAGCAAAGCGGG
rnacentral:rRNA from 1 species